CAUAAGCGUUGGUGAGCUGGUGCCUGGACCUGGUCCGGGUGAAAAGGGAAUCCGGUGCAAGUCCGGAACUGCCCCGCAGCGGUAAACGGGUACGCGUCCCCCCAUCCGGAACGGAUGGCAUGACACUGGCGGCAAGCCGGGAAGUCGGCGGACGAAAACGGCGGCCACCGCCCCAAACGCCCGCAAGUCCGAAGACCUGCCCGCUCACGCCCGCUGCA
rnacentral:ncRNA from 2 species